rnacentral:misc_RNA from 1 species
GAUGAAGAACGUAGUGAAAUGCGAUAAGUAAUGUGAAUUGCAGAAUUCAGUGAAUCAUCGAAUCUUUGAACGCACAUUGCGCCCGCCAGUAUUCUGGCGGGCAUGCCUGUUCGAGCGUCAUUACAACCCUCAGGCCCCCGGGCCUGGCGUUGGGGAUCGGCGGAGCCCCCCGUGGGCACACGCCGUCCCCCAAAUGCAGUGGCGGUCCCGCCGCAGCUUCCAUCGCGUAGUAGCUAACACCUCGCGACUGGAGAGCGGCGCGGCCACGCCGUAAACACCCAACUCUUCUGAAGUUGACCUCGAAUCAGGUAGGAAUACCCGCUGAACUUAAGCAUAUCAAUAAGCGGAGGA